AAAAACGGAUAAUACGAACCUCAUAUAGAACGAUGAUACGGAUCGUUCGUCUCUACCCGGUCUCCGUAAAUGACUGGACUAUGAGGGGAGAAACACGGGUG
rnacentral:ncRNA from 2 species